rnacentral:tRNA from 1 species
GCGGGAUUAGUUAAAUGGUAUAAUGGCGGUCUCCAAAACCGCGGUUGGGGGUUCGAUUCCCUCAUCCCGUG